rnacentral:tRNA from 1 species
GCCCCCGUGGCAAAGUGGUUAAUGCGUGUCGCUUGUACUUUACUGUUAGCAACGACAAGAUCACUGGUUCGAAUCCGGUCGGGGGCA